GAUGAAGAACGUAGCGAAAUGCGAUAAGUAAUGUGAAUUGCAGAAUUCAGUGAAUCAUCGAAUCUUUGAACGCACCUUGCGCCUCUUGGUUAUUCCAAAGGGCAUGCCUGUUUGAGUAUCAUGAACACCUCAACUCUUGUGGUUUCCCACAAUGAGCUUGGACUGUGGAGGUUUUGUUGGCCCUGUGGUCAGCUCCUCUCAAAUGGAUCAGCUUACCGGUGUUUGGUGGCAUUACGGGUGUGAUAACUAUCUACGCUCGUGGUCGUCUCCAAAUAACCUCCAGUGAUGGAGGUUCGCUGGAGCUUAUAAAUGUCUCUCCCCAGUGAAGACAGCCUUUGAACGUUCGAUCUCAAAUCAGGUAGGACUACCCGCUGAACUUAAGCAUAUCAAUAAGCGGAGGA
rnacentral:misc_RNA from 1 species